rnacentral:tRNA from 1 species
AGCCUUGUAUUCAUUAAUUGUGAUUAUAGAAUGCAAUUCUGUAGGGGUGAGUUAAAUGCUUACCAAGGCCU